GCUGUGCAGGGAGGGAGGAGACAGAAUUGAUAUCAAAUAAGGGUAUCAAACUGAGAUCCGGAUGUUCCUUUUAAGUUGUUGCUCAUUUUCAGUGGUCUCACCAGGGGUGAAGAGCUUAUAACCUAAGCAUCUUCUGCAGCAAGAAUAGGCAUUCUUUAUGGAUUCGUAUUUUUCUACUCCAAAGACUAAACUGGUGCUAUAGCGGAUAUCAGUGAAGGGGUUUCUUCACCCUCUUCUCAUUUUUAUUUACUCAUCAGACUUCAGCUCAGUUGGAUAAAAGAGAGAGGUUCUGUUGCCUACAUGUGAGGUCUUUAAUGAGGAUGAGAGCCCCCAGGGAGUCCAAAUCCAAAGUAGAACGGUGCUGCUUUCCGGUUUCUUGCCAUUUCUUCAGUUGCUUCUCCCUUUUCCAAUUGGCCUAGGGAGCGGGAACUAUCCAAGGUACUAGGAUGCCGGCAGCUUUGCCAUUCAAUGCAGACGGAUUGCAGGAGCAGAAGAGAGAUUACUGCUUAUUUCAGAAGAAUAUAAUCAAAUGAGGUACCCUAGCCAGCCUGGUGAUUGCUUCGGGUCUUGUAAUCAGCUGUGUGGCAAAGUGGGUAAAAUCACCCAGUUUCUUCCCUGCUGGACCUGGAAGGAGAAGGGCUGUGUGUUCAUCCCCACCCACUAGCUAUGCCCUCUUUUCUCCGAAUGUCGAUUUAAGGACGCAAGCACCUGUCUUCUUCCAGUGCAUCUUUCUAGCAAACUUUAAAGGUCAUUUAUCUGGUAGGAAGAACAACGAGAAUCCUCUGAUUACUAGUGAUGCAGAAUCUGGGAUUCGACACUUUUCCCAUCUUCAUACAAUGCACUUUAACUGAAGAGAAACUAAGCUGAACUACAAGUCUAUUUCUUAUGGUGCUGGAUUACUCCUACAGAACUGCCCUGAGACCAACGUGAGCAAGCAAGGGCUCUGGCAGAUACAAGUCAGCUUCUGAUUAUUGCACUUAGCUCUCCCUGGGGACUUGCGUUUGGGAAGUGUUCCUUUCACAUGAUACCCUCCAAGAUGAUGAGUGCAAACCCCGAGGGAGACCCUUUGGACAACUUUCUCCAGUACAUCGAGGAUAUGGGGAUGAAGGCGUACGAUGGCCUGGUUAUUCAGAACGCGUCCGACAUUGCCAGAGAGAACGAUCGUUUGAGAAAUGAAACAAACUUGGCCUAUCUGAAGGAGAAGAAUGAAAAGCGCCGAAGGCAAGAAGAAGCAAUAAAACGGUAGGUAGAAAUCAACCCGCUCUGAGAUGGUGGCACCCGAGGCAAUGUGCGAGUGCUACUGAGGCUGUGGUGUCACCUGACCAAGGAGGGUCUCAGCGGAGUUGGCUAGGCAUGACGCGACGCGACACAGGGGAGCAUCGCAACUAUAGGGAAACCUGUCCAUCCUGCUGACGGAAUCUUGGCCUUAGUUAACAAAAGUUAUUUACUGUGUGUGCGCGUGUGGAAGUACACAUGGGAUGGGGAAAGAAAUAAAUUCCUUCUGAAUAAGAGCUGGUGUUUAACAACCUCUUGAUAAAAGGACAAGGGAACACAUAAAUGCCUUUACAGUCUAAAUUUGAUGAAAAGUCCCACAUUUAAUGGCCUUUGUUUAUAGCCUUUACCUUAUAAUAGAGUUCAUCUUCUUCCUAGAAUGGGACCAGGCCUCAUCAAUAAUUACAGAUCUGUGAGCCUCUGAAGGCAGGUGGAGUCAUCUGUGUAUGUACUCUGUGCAGAAUUUUAAGGCUACUACAUCUUGAAUGCCAAGUGCCCUACCUUUGUUCAAGUGAAAUUACCUUUAGGACGUGAAAGCUACCAGCUGCAAGCUAAUGAGGCCAAACUGCAGCCUUCCAAAUUGCGGUUACGCUGUGCAGGGCACUGACACCAUCUAUGGAUUUUUUUAAAAGAAUGUUACAGUGUUUUCCGUGUGCCUGAGGGUUUGUUUUUGGAUGGUGGUGUUGUUGGGGUUUUUUUCAGUGAUACAGGGAGACCCAUGCUCUGUUUGAUGGAGUCCUGCUUCUCCAUUGGAGUCUAUUCAGCAAAAUCCCCAAAUAUAAGAAAUAAUUCAUCUCAAUUAGCAGGGUAAAGGAAUGAUAACAGUUAAGAUAUUCUGAUAGGUCAUGGUAGAUUUCUCAUCUAAUCUUGUAUUAAUACUUUCUGCUAACUCUGUGAAUACUGUGAUUUAAGGAAAAUGAAAUAUUCUCUUAAGAACUAGUCAUGUUUAAAAAGAAGCUAAAAAUGUUGCACUAAUCCAGCCAUUCAGUAGAAAAUAAUACACUCUCUUAGAACUCUUUUCUGUAAAUAAAAAAAAUAGACUCCUGUGUACAUGUGAACAUUUUACUUUAGUUUUGCAACUGAGUUUUUAAAAAUUCAAAACAAAAAGGAUAGCUAACAUGAUUUCUAAGUAACUUCAGUUCUAUAAUCUAAAGUCUCCUAAUAUAGGGAUUAAAUCUCAAUAAUUUGUUGCUUUUAUAAGUAGGUAAAUAAAAUUAUUUACUGAAUCUUUCUCAUAGGUAUUAGAAGAUAUGAAAAUUAUACAUAUCUCCACUACUAGCUUUUGUGUUUCAUUAACAACAUUCAACAAGUUUCCACCUAAAGAUCCAUGGAUACUGACAAAAAUGGCUAAAUUUAGGUGGUUUAUUGUCAAAUAUUCAAAAGGAUAUAACCAACAAUUUGAAGGAAGUCUAAAAUGCAAGGAGCAUUGUAGCAGGAGACACAGCAGAGCCAGCACUACAAAAUAAAAGAGGUCUAGAAAAUCCAGUUACGUGAACUAGAUUUUGGUGAGUUGGUUCCUAGUAUUACUAAGGUCAUAUUUUCCUGAAUUAUUGUAUGUACUAUAAAAAUAAAAAUAAUUCAAGUCGCACAUUGAAUUGAAAAAGCCAUGAAUGAUCUGUGGACACUUAUUUCUACAUCUAUCCCUCAGCAGAAGAUAAAAAUUUAGCCAGUUUGAGGAUAGAACGAAAUCCUGGAGUAAAUCACCCUCUUCUUUUGUUCUAACUGUGGGAGCUCAUAGUGGUUUGUAGUAGGACAGCAGCAGUAAACCUGGCGUAAAGUAAUCAAGUUACGGACUUUGUGAUUCAUGAGAUAUAGGAGUUGAGUAAGAGGAAAAGAACCAGAGUGGUUCUCAAGUUUGUUCUGCUGGGUUUUGUUGUUGUUUGUUUGUUUAUUUUUGCUUCAACUAGCAGAAGGUUUCCCUUUAAUGAAAUUGUAAAGACUAAAAUAGGAUCAAAUCUAAGGUUGAU